rnacentral:rRNA from 1 species
AUACAGAGGUGGCAAGCGUUGUUCGGAAUUACUGGGCGUAAAGGGCGCGUAGGCGGUUGCCUAAGUCGGACGUGAAAUCCUCAAGCUUAACUUGGGAACUGCAUCCGAUACUGGGUGACUUGAGUUCGGGAGAGGAAUGUGGAAUUCCAGGUGUAGCGGUGAAAUGCGUAGAUAUCUGGAGGAACACCGGUGGCGAAGGCGGCAUUCUGGACCGAAACUGACGCUGAGGCGCGAAAGCCAGGGGAGCAAACGGGAUUAGAUACCCCGGUAGUCCUGGCCCUAAACGAUGAGUGCUUGGUGUGGCGGGUAUCGAUCCCUGCCGUGCCGAAGCUAACGCAUUAAGCACUCCGCCUGGCGAGUACGGUCGCAAGGCUGAA